rnacentral:snRNA from 1 species
AUCCACCCUGAGGCCUCGUCGCUUCGAUAAAUAGUAGUAUCUGUUCUUAAUAGUGUGAUAACUAUUAUGACGGCCACACGCUGUCAAGCAUAUCACUGUGCAUUUUUGACUUUGGGCGAGACCUCGACGCCUUCCUCAUGUCGUUGUCUCAUGGGAUGUCCUUGCCACUUCAGUGCCGGCGAGCGACGUCCACCCUGC